CCUACGGGAGGCAGCAGUGGGGGAUAUUGCACAAUGGGGGGAACCCUGAUGCAGCGACGCCGCGUGGGUGAAGAAGCGCCUCGGCGCGUAAAGCCCUGUCAGCAGGGAAGAAAAUGACGGUAGCUGAAGAAGAAGCACCGGAGAAACACGUGCCAGCAGCCGCGGUAAUACGUAGGGGCAAAGCGUUAUCCGGAUUUACGGGGGGUAAAGGGGACGCAGACGGCGUUGCAAGCCAGGAGUGAAAGCCCGGGGCCCAACCCCGGGACUGCUCUUGGAACUGGGUGGCUGGAGUGCAGGAGGGGCAGGUGGAAUUCCUGGUGUAGCGGUGAAAUGCGUAGAUAUCAGGAGGAACACCGGUGGCGAAGGCGGCCUGCUGGACUGCAACUGACGUUGAGGCCCGAAAGCGUGGGGAGCAAACAGGAUUAGAUACCCUGGUAGUC
rnacentral:rRNA from 1 species